GGACAGAGAGAGACAGAGCAUGAACGGGGGAGGGGCAGAGAGAGAGGGAGACACAGAAUCGGAAACAGGCUCCAGGCUCCGAGCCAUCAGCCCAGAGCCUGACGCGGGGCUCGAACUCACAGACCGCGAGAUCGUGACCUGGCUGAAGUCGGACGCUUAACCGACUGCGCCACCCAGGCGCCCCUAUAGUCUUUGUUUUAAAAUUUAGUUUGUCUAAUAUAAGUAUGGCUACUCUGGCUUUCUUUUGACAUCCAUUACCAUGAUAGAUAGAGUCCCCUCACUUUCCAUUUGCAGGUAUCUUUAGGUCUAAAAUGAGUCUUUUAUUGGCAUGAUAUAGAGGGGUCUUUUUUUUUUUUUAAUCCAUUCUGAUGCCCUAUGUCUUUUUUUUAAAUUUAUUUAUUUUGACAGAAAGAGGGAGAGACAGACAGACAGACACUAGGGAAGGGGCAGAGGGAGAGAGAGGGAGAGAGAGGGAGAAUUCCAAGCAGACUCUGUGCUGUUAGUGUGGAGCCUGAUGUGGGGCUUGAACUCACAUGCUAUGAAAUCAUGAUCUGAGCUGAAAUCAAGAGUCUGAUGCUCAACUGACUGAGCCACCCAUUUGCCCCUGAUACUGUAUGUCUUUUGAUUAGAGCAUUUAGUCCAUUUACAUUCAGAGUGAUUAUUGAACGAUAUGAAUUUAGUGCCAUUGUGUUACCUGUAAAGUUGGUGUUUCUGAUGAUGUUCCCUGUUCCUUUCUAGUCUUUGUGGGAAAGAAAUUUUAAUAUUUUUUGCAGGGCUGAACUUCUCUAGUUUUUGUUUGUCUGGGAGAUUCUUUAUCUCUCCUUCUAUUCUGAAUGAUAGCCUUGCUGGAUAAAGUAUUCUUGGCUGCAUACUUUUUGCAUUCAGCACAUUGAAUAUAUCAUGCCAUCUCCUUCUGGGCCUGCCAAGUUCUUGUGGAGAGAUCUGAAAACCUGAUUUCUCUUCCCUUGUAGAUUAAGGGCAUUUUUCCCCUUGCUUGUUUCAGGAUUCUUUCCUUGUCUGUGUAUUUUGUAAAUUUUACUAUGAUAUGUGUUGGUGUUGGCUGGCUUUUGUUGAUUUUGUUGGGAGUUAUGCCUCUUGGAUUUUGAUAUUUGUUUCCUUCCCUAGAUUAGGGAAGUUUUCAGCUAUAAUUUGUUCAAGUAAAUCUUCUGCCCCCUUUGCUCUCUUUUGUUCUUCUGGGACUCCUAUGAUAUGAAUGUUUUUAUGCUUUAUGGAAUUGCUGAGUUCCCUAAGCCUACAUUUGUGUUGUAAAGCUUUUCUUUCCCUUUUCACUUCAGCUUCAUUAUUUUCCCUCAUUUUAUCGUCUAUAUCACUGAUUUAUUCCUCGACAUUGUCCAUCCUUGUUGUCAUUAUAUCCAGUUGGUUUUGCAUCUUGGUUAUAGCAUUUUUAAAAAAAAUUUCAGCCUGACUAGUUUUUCAUUCUUUUAUCUCUGCAGUAAGGGAUCCUCUAGUGUCUUCUAUGGUUUUUCAAGCCCAGCUAGUAUCCUUAUGAUUGCUGCUUUAAAUUCCGGUUCAGGCAUAUUACUUUUAUCUGUUUUGAUUAAAUCCCUUGCCAUGACCUUUUCUUAUUCUUUCUUUUGGGGUAAAUUACUCUGUUUUGUCAUUUUGUCUAGGUCACUGUUUAUGUGUGUGUGUGUGUGUGUGUGUGUGUGUGUGUGUGUGUUUGUGUGUGUGUGUGUGUGUGUGUUAGGAAAGGCUGUUAUCCUUUCUCUUCCUGAGAAUAUGGCUAUAUUAAGAAGAGGUCCUAUACUGUCCAGGGCCUGGAGCUUCAGAAAGUGUUUCAGAGUGUGCAGCCUGCUGUUGUGUUUUGGCUGCUCUUUCCUUUAGGUGAGUCCUCUGCAGAGUUUCUCCUGGCCUGCAGUGGGGAGUGUUUAUAUCUUGUCUAGUGUGUGGUGAGUUUUAACUAGGUGUAUUUUGGCCUGUUUGUUAAAAGAGUCUAGAUCUGGGGUGCCUGGGUGUCUUAGUCGGUUGAGCGUCUGACUUUGGCUCAGGUCAUGAUCUCACGGCUCGUGAGUUUGAGCCUCAUGUCAGGCUCUGUGCUGACACUUCAGCUCUUGGAGCCUGCUUUGGAUUCUGUGUCUCCUUCUCUUUCUGCCCCUCUUCCACUCAUGUUCUGUCUCUCUCUCCUUCAAAAAUAAAUAAACAUUAAAAAAAUAAAAAACAAAGAGGCUAGAUCCUAUUCCCCCUAGAGUUAAAGCUUUGCACCACUCUAUGAUCAGUAGACUUGGUGCCUGUGAGGCGUUUGUGUUGGUCUUCUGAGGGAGGGCCUGCUGUGCUGAUUCUCAGGCUGAGUUUCCCUACUAAAGAUGCACCUGCAGAGUGUAGAGGGGUAGGGCUUGGUGUAAGCAGCUCAAACCUCCACUAGGGGUGCUAUGCUGCUCACUGAGGUCUAUGAGUGCUGAUGGGCAGGGGUUGCGAGCAGAAAUGGUCUACUCUCUUGUCUCCUAAGCAGGGAGUUCACACUGGCUACUGUUUAGGAAACCCUCACAGAAGAGUGAACGAUCUCCCCUCUUGUGUCCCCAGCUUCUGUCAGAUCCCUGCCAUCACUCGGUCUGUGUCCGAGCUGUAUGCCUCCGAGGCAGCGUAGUACUCCUGUGUUUUAUCCCAGAUGUGUGGCUGUGUUUCAAAACUCCAAAUUUUAGGGACCUGGCAUGGCGAGGACCCACACUGAUCCUCUGGGGGAAGGUCUCCCCACGCUGUGGCUGGUGCCAGUUAGUCCCAGAAAAACCAUCACACAGUCCCCGGGGAGUUUAUGGUAAAGUGAGGCAAAAGGUCAGCACCAAGGUUUUCUGCCCUCAGCAGGUGUCUCUAUUCCUAUGCUAAUGAACGGGGCAGCACGUUGACACUCACCAGCUCUUUUGUUCCCAGAGAGGCCAUGCCACCUCUCCCAAAUGCACUCCAAGAAGGGGGAACUGCUCUCCUAGUGCGACCCAGAGGAUCCUCAAACCACUCUGUCUGCUCCUGGGCCCCUGUCCUCCUUUUCCACGGGAUCACUGGUGUGGCCACCAGGCUCCACAUGGUGGUGGUGCAUACUUCUAAAACUUCAGGCUUUGGGCUCCACUGCCUGUAAAACUUUGUGGUAAUCAGUUGCUCUCAUUUUCCCAGUCAAUGGUUUUGGGAGAAGUGUUUCUCUUGUGCAGUCCCCUGCGUGCUGCUUUCUCUCUGUUCUCUCUCUCUGUCUCCCUUUUGUCUCCAAGAUCAAAAGUCCCUCCCCUCUGCAGCAUCCAUGAAUCUUUUCUUCCAGAAUUAUGUCUCCACAGCUCCUAUCUUCUACAAUGUGGCUUCUUUUCUCCCUCUAGUUCUGCAGUUUGUUCUUUCAGCAUUCAGAUUGAUUUCUUGGGGGCUGGGAAUGAUUUGAUAUUUAUCUAGCUGUGUUUGAGGGAUGAUGCAAGGUUAGGGUCCUCCCACUGUUCCACCAUUUUAACUCUGGAUUUUGAUCAUUUUAAUUAGUGUGUGGUGGCAUCUCAUUAUUGUACUGUUUUAAUACCAGUGAUCUUGAGCAUCUUUUCAUAUCCCAUCAUUGCAUCAGGAAUGGAAAACAUCAGUGCAGACAGAAUGAAUUCCUCUGACCUGAAUAUGUCAAUUUUUCUUUUACUAGGAUAUGCUCAUCUGCAGUGUUCCAUCUGUAUAUUUACUUCAGUGAAGUGUCUGUUCAGAUCUUUUGUGUGUUUUUCAGUUGGAUUUUUUUUUCUUACUGUGAGUUUUAAAAGUUAUUUGUAGGGGCGGCUGGAUGGCUCAGUCAUAUGAGUGUUUGACUCUUGAUUGUGGCUCAGGUCAUGAUCUCACAGUUUGUGGGAUCGAGCCCCGUGUGAGGUUGUGGGCUGACAGCAUGGAGCCUGGUUGGGAUUCUCUCUCUCCCUCUCUCUCUCCUCUUCCCCCACUUGCACUCUCUCAAAAUAAAUAAUCUAAAAAAAUUUUUUUUAAAAAGUUCUUUAUACAUGUUUGGUUCAAUUCUUUAUCAGAUAUGUGUUUUGCAAAUAUUUUCUCCCAGCCUGUGGCUUGUCUUCUCACUCUUUUAACAUUGUCUUUCCUAGAGCAGACAUUUUCAAAUUUUAAUGAGUCUGACUUAUUAAUUUUUAUUUUAUGGAUGGUGCUUUUGGUAUUAUACCCAAAGAGUCAUUGCCAAAUCAAAGGUCACAUACAUUCCAUUCUAUAUUUUCUUCUAGAAGUUUUGUAGUUUUGCAUUUUACCUUUAGGUCUAGGGUCUAUUCUGAGUUAAUUUUUGUGAAGAAUUUAAAUUUAAAUAAUCAUUUGUUACAUAUAUCCAUUUUGUACCACAGUGUGACUAAUUUGGGUUAAUCUGUGAUCUUUUUGUCCAUUACUCAGAUCACUCAAGACUUUAUUGCAUGCCUGUGUUUUGUUGUUACCAGUGUUCACUCUCAAGUGGUUGCCUUUUCCUUCUCGACUGACUUCAAACUAUGUUCUUUCUCAUUAUCUUAGCUGGGGUGGAUGUUCUUUCAGCAUGGUUGCACUUCUUAUAUUAAGAUCAAUUCCCUUAGUCAAUAUCUCAUUUGUUGGAAUCCUAUAGUGAUAACUCCAGAAUUGGAGAAUUGUUGUGAAGGGUUUAUAUGCUUUGAGCUUGACAUACCCAGGUAAAAUAAAAAUGACCACACUCAGGUCAGAGGUAAGUUAUUCUGUCUGCAUUGAAAUUUUUCUCUCCUGAUACAGUGUUCUGUCCAGCUCCCUUCUUAACCUGGGAAUCUGCAUCCACCUGGCCCCUGUCUGUUGGCCGACUCCCAUCACAGAUUCUUGGAAGUCCUGUGUCCAAUGAGGAAAAUGCAGAAAACUGUUGGUGAAGAACUUGACAAUCUGAUGAUUGAUUACUUUGUGGACCUUGAAUGGAAACACUGCACCCCUAUUAUAUCAGGGGGAGGAAGUGAAGUGAGGAAAAACCUCUUGUCUAGAUACAAUAUUGCUUUUUGUACAACACAGUAUGAAAUACAUGUAUUUUUGAAACUUUAAAAAAAUGUUUAUUUAUUUUUGAGAGAGAGAGAGAGAGAGAGAGCGAGCAAGCAAGCACGAGCCAGGGAGGGGCAUAGAGAGACGGGGACAGAGGAUCCAUGCUGACAGCAGCAAGCCUGAUGUGGGGCUUGAACUCAUGAAGCAGGAGAUUGUGACCUGAGCUGAAGUCGGAUGCUUAACAAACUGGGCCAUCCAGGCGCCCUGAAAUAUUUGCAUUUCUAUGUUACUUGUCUUGUUUCAAGCUUGUAUUUUUUUCUUUCCUUUGCAUUCUCUCAAAGCAGGUUGAUGGCCCAUGGGAGAAAUUAUUUCCUUGGGCAAACAGAUAGAAGACACUUGUACAAAAGGCAAAGAACACAUCUUUCAGAUGCCCUCCCUUGUUCUGUUGAAUGGCUUCAAAGAAGAGUUUACUGGGAGACCUGGGUGGCUCAGUCGGUUCAAAGUCUGACUUCAGUCCAAGUCAUGAUCUCACGGUUCAUGGGUUCGGGCCCCACGUUGGGCUCUGUGCUGACGGCUCAGAACCUGGAGCCUGGAUUCUGUGUCUACCUCUUUCUGCCCCUCGCCUGCUCAUGCUCUGUCUCUCUCAAAAGUAAAUAAAAGUAAAAAAAGAGAAGAGUUUACUGUUUUUAUUUUCUUUAUUAGGAAUUAAAAUAGGAGACUUUUGAUGAGGUCUUGUUUUAAAGAAGCUAUUUUCUUUGAGAAAAAAAGUGCUUCCCCUUUUGAUGCUUGAGAUUGAUGUGAUGAAAUUUAGGAAAAACUUAUAUGACAGUUGUUUGUGUUUCUUCUGGGUGAUUUGUUUAGAGUUAUGUGUACAUCUAAGAUGCUUUAAAGUCUUUAUAACAGAUUUCUCACUUUCAUAUGGGAGAUAUAACAGCAGAAUUAUGGAAUCUUGUAGCCUCUGGUUGCUAGAAUUGUCCACCUUUGUAGAAGCGUUAGAAAAUGCUGAGAGUGAUUUCAUGGGGGUUAUUUUGUUGUUGUUGUUGUUUACUUAUUUAUCUUUGAGAGAAAGAGGAUGGGGCAGGGGGUGGGGAGACAGAAUCCCAAGGAGGCUCUGUGAUACCAGUGCAGAACCCGACAUGGGGUUCAAAACCGUGAGCCGUGAGAUCAUGACCUGAGCCCAAAUUGAGUUGGAUUGCUUAACCGACUGAGCCACCCAGGUGCCCUGAUUUCAUGGAGUUUUAAAGUAGGGUGCCCAGGAAUGCUGGGUAAGGUCAGAGCGAACCCAAAGAGAGUGCCUACUGUGUGCCAGGCACACAGUACAGCUGUGUGCUGUACAACUGUCCACCCAUUUAAUUCUCAACCCUAGGGGGUAGGAACCGUCAUUUCCCCCUGUUUCACUCAGCAUCAGUAGAAGAAUUUGGACAAAUGGACCAAUAAACUUGAUUUUCUAGCUAAAUGCUUGAUCCACUGCAUUGUCCUUGGGGCCAUGAAGCUGUUCCCCACUUCCAGAAGGUGACCACUUUGUUGAGGCUUCUCUAGGGUCAGAAGUGGCUGCUGAUUGCCACUCCCAAAGAGGUGCAUUCUAAGAACAGAAGAAAAUCAUUGCCAAGGAGAAUGGUUAUUGGGCCUGGUUUUAGCAAUUUGCAAAGUCCAAUAAAAAAUAAAUCCCAAAGCAGUCAUAUGUUUCAAAUCUGAAUGUUAACAGCUGUGCUCUUAUUUCUUUGCUGACUAUAACUACAAUGCUAAGCCUUUUCUCUGUGUUUAGAAAAAGCUCUGCCUUCACCUUAAUGUUCUGGCCAUACCAGCCAACUGUCCUUUCCAAAUUUACCCCCAAUUCCUUAUUUCCUUCUUUAGAUAUUUAUUUCUUUUUAAGGAGAGAUCUCUACAGGGCUAAGGUUUUAAAACAGCAAAUUGUGCUAAAUUCUUAAUCCUCCUCUAACAUCUGUUUAUGUUUUUGGAAUAUAUAUAUAUAUAUAUAUAUAUAUAUAUAUAUAUAUGUAAUGUUUUUAAGAAGUCUUUUUACCCCUGUCCAAAAAGGAACUCUAAGAACCAAUUUUUUCUUUAUUUCCUUCCUUUUUCUUCCUGCCUUCCUGCCUACCUGCCUUCUUUUUCUCUUUUGGGUUUUUUUUUUAGAUUACUUUAAGGGGAAAUAAUCCCUUAAUGUGUAUCCAAGAACACUGAAAGAUGUUUGGACAUUUUCUAUUCCUUUCUGGCCUCUGAGUUCUGAGUCACUGAGUUUGUGUUUUUAAGUCAGCACCUAUGGGCAAAGUUCUCUUUCAAAACUAAACUAGUCCCCAUGAUUUAAAAUGCCAACCAACCAAUGAACCAAAAAAUCCACUCCCUAAAAAAAAAGGAUCAAACCAACCAAAACCCCCUCAAAUUUAACCAAAAACCUCUCCAAAAAAAUCAGGUCCUCAUUUUGGAUCAAAGCCAGGCAACAUUUUCCCCAAAUUCCUCCUGCUCUAUAGAGAGAGUACAUCUCUGAACAUGCCAAAUGGAAAUUCAGAUAUGAGCAACUCUUUUAAAAUUCUUAUCUUUUAAAUAUUCAUAAUUUUCCAGCUCUUUACUAUCAUAAAUUCUUUUCAUUAGAAAGCUCACCUUGGAAAGGGCGGAAGGGAGGAGUGAGUUCGGAAGGCACUGUUUUCCCGGCUCCCUGCUUGCUCAGAAAGUGUCUGGUAAUGGGAUGGCAGGACACCCGGCUGUGGGUGCUGGAGGGUUCUUAACUCCAAUCUGUGAGGACUGAGAUGUGUCCCUCCAAGUCUAUCAUCACCCAGGUUAGACAGGCCCCACUGAAGCCUCUCUGGUGGGUGGGAAUUCUUGGAGGCAGUGAUGCCUGAAUUUUCUAAGGAUGAGCCUAGGAUAGCUAUUAAGCUAGAAGGGCAUAGGGCUGGGGACCUAACUUAAAGCUGCAUUUGCAUGGUGCUUUAUACAAUAUUGAGACGAUCUUUCCUUUAUUCAUCAGAGAAUGUAGAGAGGGCUACUGGCCAGGACUGUGGGGUGGGGUGAGGGAAGGAAGACCACUACUUUCAGCCCCUUCAUGGAGACCCCACCGAUGAGGAGCCUCUUGGGAUAGAGCUGUGACCAUGCUGGAGAUUGGGCAUAUUGACAGACUGCCAAUGGGAGAGGCUGGUGCACGUAUGUUUGCCUGAGUCUGCAGAAGGGGCAGGCAAGGCUGGAAACUUGGCAUCACGGGAGGGGAGAAGCACUUCCGGGUUUCAUCAUGCAUGCUGUGAUUUGUCUCCUUGGUUAAAUCUCUGGGUCCUGGAAGCUGUUUUACUAACAGUCCCUUAAGGAACGGAGAACCAUGGAAUCUCUCCAGUAAUCUCGCCCACACGAACUCCAGUGGGUGGUGAAGCAUCCUGCUUCAUUUUGCCUGGGAACGAUUGGGGCACCGUGACAGCACAAAGGCAGCUGAGGUGGGGCUUUGCAGCAAAUAAAGGGACAUGGGCAUCACUUCCCAUACUGGUGUGAUUCUGUGCUUUGUUGCUUGUUUUUUAAGUGCUACUGUGGCAGUCAGUGGCAUGAGUGGUGGACACCCAGGGGUACUCCCUUCCACUGAAUUUCUUUUUUUUUUUUUAAGUUUAUUUAUUUAUUUUGAGAGAGACAGAGACAGCAUGAGUGGGGGAGGGGCAGAGAGAGAGGGAGAGAGAGAAUCCCAAGCAAGUUCUGUGCUGCCAGCACAGAGCCUGACCUGGGACUCGAGCCCACUAAACCGUGAGAUCAGGACCUGAGCUGAAACUCAAAGUCAGAUGCUUAACCGACUGAGCCACCCAGGUGCCCCCUCCACUGUUUCAGUAGCAUCUGUCCCAGUAGAUUCUCAGGGAGCCUCACAGGUACCCUAGAGGUUGUCUUCUCGGCCUUGAGCCUCCUACACCCUGGUGGGGUGUUUUCUGCUGGCCAGUCCCAGCCCAUGUUACCCUGCCUUCCAACCUUUGGCCAGCCACUGUGGAUCAGUUCUGGCUCAGGUCCUCCUGGAGAAUUUCCCCACUACUCAGUGGGCUUCAAUCACACCUUUUCAAUGAGAUCUGAAUGCCAGCCUUAGAAAGGGGGGUGGGUGGUGAUCUCUUUUUCAAGUGUGUUCUUUCGUUGAGCAUUCUCCUUCAUCUCUUGGAUAGCCUCUAGAGUUCUUUUUAUCCCUUGACAGUCAGCUCCCUGUUAUGGUUAUAUAAUUCUUUAUAUUAAAGUCUCCCUGUUAAAAUUAUUGUGUGAUUUCUGUCUCCUAACUAGACCUAUUGAUACAAGAUGAUAGUAGGGAUAAUUGAUAGAAAUACUGAGUUUGUUCCCUUAUACAUUUUACUUCCUUCUUAUUUGAAGCCUCUGUCCUGGUCCCGACAGGUGCCAGCCCUCAGAAGCUGUGAGUUAGUUGCAUCAGCGGGACUGGGUCCCAAGUAGCUGACCCCCAGGUUCACUGAAGAUUUCCAUACUUGACGAAAUGACUGGAGAGAAUGGAUGAGAAUUGAUGCUAUAACACUAGCUUUGCAUGUGGGUGAGGGGAACCCAGAGAAAAACAGCUUGAAUUUCUUGUCCAUGGGGAUGGGACCUCAGAAUCAGAAUGAAGUUGAAAGAAAAUAAACGUGAGACUCCCAGUGAAUCUGCUUUAUGAUAGUUACAGUUUUUAUGUCAAAUCACUGACAAAUACAUAAAUAUAAAAGCUGGCAUGGAUUUGGCAAUGCUUCUACAAACUUGUAUUUUAUUAUUUAUAAAGCAUUUAAAAACACUUGAAAAAGUGGUACAUGGUAUCAAUUUAUUUACUUAAAAUUUUUUUUAAAACGUUUAUUAUUGAGAGACAGAGAGACACAGAGCAUGAGCAGGGGAGGGGCUGAGAGAUGGGGAGACACAGAAUCGAAAGCAGGCUCCAGACUCUGAGUUGUCAGCACAGAGCCCAAUGUGGGGCUUGAACUCACAAACAGCGAGAUCAUGACCUGAGCCAAAGUCGGACGCUUAGCCUAUUGAGCCACCCAGGUGCCCCUCAAUUUAUUUACUUUUAUUACUAGGUCUAUAGAUGUGAGGAUUUCCUGCCUGAAGGUGGUAACUCCACAGCCCCUCUGGGAUCAGAAGCUCACAGGUCUGGAGCUGGUGUUAUAAGAAUGGAAACAAUGCUGAAAGCCAAGUGCUCAUUAAUAUACAAUAUGGAGAUCGUAUCAUCUUUUAAACAGUCUUAGCAAAAGACGCAAAAAUCUGGCUUUCAUGUGCAGUGUCUCUGUGUCCACUGUGUAUUUUUCUUUGUCCAUGCUUUGAAAGGAUAAGCAAUCAUUGCUUGUUUGUUUGCACUUCCUGGGAGAAGAUGCUACUCUGGAUGAAAUGCAUUGGCCCCACCUAGGCAGGUGGAGGAUCCCAUGAAAGGAGCAGUUGGCCGCCUGCCACUGGCUGGGUGAUGCACAGAGAACAACCCUGGAGCGUGCCCUGGAGCGUGCCCUGGAGCGUCUACACCCUCAUCCUCAUCCUUAUUUCCCCAGUUUUUCUUCUGGAACAAGUGGAAGCCUCUGAUGCACUUAUCUCCUUCUCUACCUUCCCUAUUUUAAAAUUAGGAUGCUAAUAUUUGUGAAGUCAUGAACUAAUGUUUAACCUUUUCUGGCAUCCAAUAUACAUGCUUAUUUGGCUCCAUGGCCCUGGUCUAGCACCCCUACAUUAAUCCAGAGAAUCGAAAUACCAACAGGAAAAAGGAAAUGAAGAAAGCAAAUGCAACAUUAGCUACAGAAGCAUUUCACUUAACAAAAUCAGGAAAGAGACCAUAUCUCCCUAAGUUUCAUGUGAUAAUAUAAAGUGAUAAUACUUUGGUUGCUUUAAUUUCAUUUCCUCUGCUCUGUUUUCCCUUUGACCAUUAACAACACUCAGCUGUGUCCCUUUGUGACCCAAUGGCUGUGUGCCUGAGAGCCUGGGGCUGAUGAGAAGUGGACCCUCUUUCUCUCUACCAAUUUUUAAGUUGUUUUCUUCAUCCAUCGCCAGCCCCUGAGACUCAGCCCUUAACCUUGUGAGUUUAGUGUUUGGCUAAACUGGAGAAGAGAAUUAAUGAUGGUAUUGGAAAGACUUUCUUGACAAAAUUCACUUUCUGGAUAUGGGAAAUAAGGGCUCAGGGCUUCAUAAAUAUGACUUAUGGGGCAAUUAGACAUAUUGGCAGCCUUUCUGGGUCCAACAUGGAUGUCUGGAAAUUAUAUGUCAACUCCCAACCUCAUGCUAGAUUCUGUAGUUUUCUGGCUUUGCCAUGGGGGUGGGGGUACAUGGUGAUUAAAUAAAUGAUCCCAGAAUGAAAGACAAAAAGAGAGAAAACAAAUGAUUUCAUAAAAUGGGAGAAAAAAGGAAAAAUGGAAUUUUUACAUUUUGAUAUUUUUUCUCCCUUGGACUUUCACCAAAAUCUUAGUUUCCUUAGUGCCAAGGUUUUUUUUUUAAUUUUUUUUUUUUAACAUUUAUUCAUUAUUGAGAGACAGAGAGAGACAGAGCACAAGCAUGGGAGGGGCAGAGAGAGGAGGAGACACAGAAUCCAAAGCAGGCUCCAGGCUCUGAGCUGUCAGCACAGAGCCUGACGUGGGGCUCGAACCCACGAGCAGUGAGAUCAUGACCUGAGCCAAAGUCGGACACCCAACUGAUUGAGCCACCCAGGUGCCCCUCCUUAGUGACAAAGUUUGACAACUCCAUGUAAUGACUUAAGAAAGUCAUGCUACCUGACUGUUCUCUAGUUCAACACAGACGUCCACCCCACAGUCCCAGUUGUGGAUGCUGUGACGCUCAUGUCUACUCCCAGAAGGAAAAACUGAUUGUCAAGGGUGAAAUGAAUCGGAUUCAAGGAUGCAAUCUUUACUUGUUUGUCUAUAAUGAUAAUAAAAGCACGAACAACCUCAAACAUAAGUUGAAAUUGGUGACUGGCGGAGGAUAGGGGAAAGGGCUUUCCUUUGCCCAUGACCUUUCCUUCCCACCGCGGUCAUCCUGGCAGUGUUCACCCCCUGGGUCUCAGUUUCUCCUGAGCUCCUAUGUGCUCCUGUGCCCCUCUCAACCCACCUCAUGUGCAUGGUCUUGCUUCGUGCUGGCGUAUGGGGAGUGUCUGGUGAAGUUGAUCUGAAAAUACUUAAUAAUGAUUAACCAGCGUUGGGUCAGAUUGCAGAUGUUCAAAAGAAACCUGUAUGUUUGGUAAAAAGGAAAGCAGAAUGAGAAAUACUGAUUUUGUUUCCAAAGAAAAACCACAUAGAAUUUUCUGGGUUGUGGAAGAGUUUUAGGAACUGGCUCCAAACACGAGUUCCUGCUCAUGGUCCUGAGCAAGCUCCCAACUUAGCCAACACCUGUGCAGUAACCUCCUGGGCUUCUGUUUCACCACCCGUGAGAAGCGGUUGUGAAGCUUGGGGCUCACGAUGAACAAAGGGGGAGGCCAAGUGUGGGCCUGCCCAGCUCCCAGGCCCCUCCUUCCUGCUUUGUUUCUCUUCUGGCUUCCACACAGGGACUCAGGGCUUUUGGCAAGUGUGCAAUCAGGACAUUCUAAAACAGUUCUCCUUUUAAAGAUUUGGUGUAAAUGUUCCCCGAAGCAUGUUUGAUCAUGAAUUCUAGUUUUAGUCUUGGGAAACAUGGAUGUAGGCUUACAUGGAUAGUGGGGACCCAUUGUUCCUGAGAUAUCCCAUUCCCUGAGGACCUGAGCUCAGCUUGUUGCCAAACCCCCUUACCUACGGUGCUAGUGGUCCAAAUGGCUUAUUGGGUGAGCUUGCAUGAGGGUUCACAUUUAUAGCAGGUAAGCCAAUUUCUCAACUCAGGGGUAACCAAGGGUUUCUGUGUGUGUGUGUGUGUUUUUUAAUCUUUAUUUAUUUUUGAGAGAGAGAGAGAGAGAGAGUGAGUGCAAGCGGAACACAGAGAGAGGGAGACACAGAAUCCAAAGCAGGCUCCAGGCUCUGAGCUGCCAGCGCAGAGCCCGAUGCAGGACACGAACUCACGUUCGUGAGAUCAUGAUCUGAGCCGAAGUCGGACAGUUAACCGACUGAGCCACCCAGGCGCCCCGGUUUCUGUGUUUUUAACUGUGGGUCACAAACAUGCUCAGAAAUCCAAAGGUAUGUGAAUGUUGUUAACAUUUUCUUCAUUAGAAUGAUGAUUUGAUGACAUAUCGGAUAGAGGGUUAGUAUCCAAAAUCUAUAAAGAACUUAUCAAACUCAACACCCAAAAAACAAAUAAUCCAACUAAGAAAUGGGCAGAAGGCAUGAAUAGACAUUUUUCCAAAGAAGACAUCCAGAUGGCCAACAGACACAUGAAAAGAUGCUCAACAUCACUCAUCAUCAGGGAAAUACAAAUCAAAACCAUGAUAAGAUGUUACCUCACACAUUCCAGAAUGGCUAAAAUGAACAAAUCAGGAAGCAACAGAUGUUGGUGAGGAUGCAGAGAAAGGGGAACUUUUUGUACUGCUGGCGGGAAUGCAAACUGAUGCAACCACUCUGGAAAACAGUAUGGAGGUUCCUCCAAAAAUUAAAAAUAGAACUACCCUAUGACCCAGCAAUUGCACUGCUAGGUAUUUAUCCAAGGGAUACAAAAAUGCUGAUUCGAAGGGGCACAUGCACCGCAAUAGCAGCACUAUUAACAAUAGCCAAAUUAUGGAAAGAGCCCAAAUGCUUAUUGACUGAUGAGUGCAUAAAGAAGAUGUGGUGUAUAUAUACAAUGGACUAUUAGCCGCACAAAGAAUGAAAUCUUGCCAUUUGCAACAAUGUGGAUGGAACUAGAGUGUAUUUUGCUAAGUGAAAUAAGUCAGUCAGAGAAAGACAAAUAUUAUGAUUUCACUCAAAUGUGGAAUUUAAGAAAAUCAGAGGCACAUAGGGGAAGGGAAGGAAAAAUAAGACAAAAACAGACAGGGAGGCAAAGCAUAAGUUAUAGACUCUUAAAUACAGAGAAAAAAUUGAGGGUUUCUGGAGGGGAAGUGGGUGAGGGGAUGGACUUAAAUGGGUGAUGGGCAUUAAGGAGGAUAGUUGUUGGGAUGAGCACUGAAUGUUGUAUGUAAGUGACGAAUCACUAAAUUCUACUCCCGAAACUAAUAUUAUACUAUAUGUUAACUAAUAUGAAUUUAAAUUAAAAAAAAUAAUGAUGAUCUGAGGGGGUCUGAGCAUUAGAUGUGACUUGAACAUGAGUCAAAUGUGUGGAGUCUGGUCACAUCCUUUUUCUGAUGUCAGUAAUCCUUCCUAAUCUUCAUGAUUGAGGUUUAGUGAUGAAAACAUGAAAGGCUCAAAAUUAUAGCAGUAAGUGAAGAUUCAAUGCCAGCUUGCCAACGUGAGCCUUGUAGUGGUCACCCAAUAGAAGUGGCCCAUGUGUCUAUCUGGAUUCCUGAUACUAAGUUCAGGAAGCAAAUAGCUCUGGAGAGUGAGGGAUAGUUAUAGUAGAUCAUGUGUGCUACUUAUUAAAACAAAGGUUGCCCAAAUGUCCUUAAGCUGUGGUUUUCAAACUUUUUAUCCAUCAGAGUUUUCUUCAAGUGAAAUACUGCUCUAAGUAAGUGAAUAUUAAGAUGGAUGAAUUGAAAACUGGGUUGGCAACUGGGCCUUCACUCUUGGUUUUUCCUCCUUGGCUCCGUGCAUGAGCACUUCUGUGGAACCGUCUGCCUCUUAAGAAAUGGUUGGGAGGCCUUUCGCUGAAAGGAGUGACUCUUUGGGAUGCCUGGGUGGCUCAAUCAGUUAAGCAUCCGACUUCAGCUCAGAUCAUGAUCUCACGGUUUGUGAGAGCUGCACUGACAGCUCAGAGCCUGGAACCUGCUUCGGAUUCUGUGUCUCCCUCUCUCUCUGCCUCUCCCCCCGCUCAUGCUCUGUCUCUGUCUCUGAAAGAUAAAUAAAUGUUAAAAAAAAAAAUUAAAAAAAAAAACCAAAAAGAAAGGAGUGACUCUUUGGAAUCUACCUGGUCCAUGUGAAUUAGACCCGUCCUGGACUAAUCAAGUAUCCCUGAAGCCUAGUGUUGACCCUUGGAACCCUCUUGCCAUCAAAGAAAUACGACAUUUGGCCAUAAAAUAAUACUGUGCCGAUUCUGACUCACAGAAGACUCACUCAACCCAGGUGAGCAUUCAGAGCAAAUCAUCUUCUAAGCCAACAUGUGGAGAAAAACAAAGUUUUACCCUAACUGGCUUUUCUGUUUCAAAUGGAGAAUGAAACUUGGAAGACGGUGGGAAGGCAGGCUGGCAUCUCUGAGAUGCAGUGUUCAGGACAAAUGAAAUGUCAGAAUCUCAUGUCCUGAUUUACUCACUGGUGUAUGAGCUCGAGGGGUGGAUAAUACAUAUCUUCCUCUUUUCCUUAAAGGUCUGGGUUGGGCCAGAUAACACUUGGAGGCUGACUUCAGAAAGCUCUGUUUGGAAGGCUCGUGCACAUCACAUGAUGAAAGAUGUGAGGAUGGUCACCAGGCCACUUGUUCACUGUGCCAGGCUGGGUCUCCAUAGCUUCAAAUUCAUUCCAACGUAAUUGAAAACAUGUGCUAAAGUGUGCAUUUUCUUAAGGUUCAAAAUUUCCCUGUGGUGUACUUUCCAUACCAUUUUGAUUUAAAAGCAGAGAAUGACAAUACUGUGGCCAAAAACGUGUGUCAGUAUAUAAGUGUUUUAAAACAAAUCUUUUAAGAGUAAAAAACCCUGAAGAAUAAACAGAAGACUGAAUCAUAGUUCUUAGAAUUAAGGCAGGUGAGGAGCCUCAAGGAAAAGGCUUUAAAGUUGUAUUUCUCAAUGCAGUGUCAUUACAGGUCAUAAUUUAGUACAAAUGUUUAAUACUCUUGCUGUCUUGAAAAUGAUUCUUCCAUCUGGACGUUAUGUCUGUGACUUCCACAGAGAGGGGAGAAAACGUGUCUGCCCAUAUUUAUCCUGCACAAGUUUCCAUCUGUGGCAAUAUCAAAUGCCUAUGUGGACCAAGCAGUAAAUUAUGUGAGCGAAGCCAACAGGUGGAGGCUGUGGCCACCUGGACACAAGGGCUCAUUUGAAGGGAGCUGCCAUUGAGAAAGGCCAAUGCAGUGUUGUCACAGCUUCUGGUUUUUCAGGAGAGCCUGAGAAUCGAUAUGUUGAAUGUAAAAAAAACUCCUGAUUUUUAAAGUUAUAGAAAUUAAAGAUGUAACUAUACCACAGGUGGUCCAAUCAAUAUCUCUGAAGGCCAGACCAGUGCCAGGGCAAUAAGUAUCUGGUAUGCAGAGUGUGGUGCGGGUCUGAAAAGUUAGCAGGAAGCAGAGUCUUACAGAAAGGUGGGACAAGUACUCCUGUUGGAGUAGAGUGGGGCGGGAGAAUAGGGUUAGUCCCAUCUCUCUUUACCCUAAUUGAAGUGGGGACGGGGAGGGCGGGACCCCACUUCGAGGUGGAGUCAAAGACUAUAGUGUGCAGGGCAAGGCUUGGUUUUGCCGCCUGUGUGUGGCUUUCCUGCGCGUCUCCUUGACCACCCGCACGGCACACUUCACUUCUGACACUUUGGGUUAUCAAGUGUGUGGAGGCUCUUCCCCACACCAAGCGAUCCUCUGUGACACCAGCGGGGUGACCUACAGUUUAACUCAAUUCUGACACCAUCAGCCCGGAGAAAGCGUCAGAUUCUACAGGUAAGGGCCCAGCCCCACAAGUUGCGCCCCCCCCCCCCGCCCCUUCAGGUGCCAAAUGCAAGCAGUAGGUCCCCAGGUUAUCCCAAACUUCUGUCUAGAUUGGUUACAGAUUGGUAGUUCAGGUUCACUUGGUUUACUAGAGCAGCUCACACAACUCAGGGAAACACUUAUUUCCGUUUACCAGUUUAUCAAAGGAUGUGAUGAAGGAACACAGAUAAGCAGCCAGAUGAAGACGUACAUAGGGCAAGGUCUGGGAGGGUCCUCAGUGCAGAAGCUUCUAUCCCCGCAGAGUUGGGGGGCGUCACCCUCCUAGUGUGGAUAUGUUCACCAACCUAGAAGCCUCCUGAACACCGCACUAUUGGGAUUUUAGGGAGGCUUCCUCAAGUAGGCAUAAUCAAUUAUGAACUACGUUUUUAGCCUUUCUUUCCCCUCAGGAGAGUGAAAGGUGGGCUGGAAUUUCCAAUGGCUUGGUCUUUCUGGUGACCAGCCCCCAUCCAGGAGCCCACUAGAGUCACCUCAUUAGAACAAAAGAUGCUCUUUGUGCUCUUAUCCCUUAGGAGUUUACAAGAGUUGGGGCACCUGGCUGGCUCAGUCGGUUAAGCAUCUGACUCUUGAUCUUGGCUCCGGUCAUGAACUCACAGUUUGUGAAUUCAAGCCCCGCAUUGGUCUCUUCGCAGAUAGUGCACAGCCUUCUUGGGAUUCAGUCUUUCGCUCUCUCUGCUCCUCCCCUGUUCUCUCUCACUCUCUCAAAAUAAAUAAACUUAAAAAAAAAUGAGAGACAUGAUAUCAUCACAGAUCCUACAGAUAUUAAGGGAUAAUAAACAACUAUUCUGAACAAAUUUUAUUUUAAUAAAUUUGGCAACUUAAAUGAAAUGGACACAUUCCUUGAAAGAUAUAAACUACUAAAACUCACUCAAAAAGAGAUAGACCUAAAAGUCCUAUUAAAACUAAACAUUGAUUUUAUAGUUUUAAAUCUUCCCACAAAGAAAACUUCCAACCCAAAUGCUUUCACUGAUGAAUCAUACCAGACAUUUAAGGAAAAACUUGUAUCAAUUUUACCCAAACUCUUGUGGACAAUUGAAGAAAAGGGGAUACUUUGUAAGCCAUUUUAUGAAGCUAACAUUAUCUCUUUUUUUUUUAAAUUUUUUUUAACGUUUAUUUAUUUUUGAGACAGAGAGAGACAGAGCAUGAACGGGGGAGGGUCAGAGAGAGGGAGACACAGAAUCCAAAACAGGCUCCAGGCUCUGUGCUGUCAGCACGAGCCCAACGCGGGGCUCGAACUCACGGACCACGAGAUCAUGACCUGAGCCGAAGUCGGACGCUUAACCGACUGAGCCACCCAGGCGCCCCACUAACAUUAUCUCUUUUUUAAAAAAUGUUUUACUUAUUUUUGAGGGAGAGCACGGUUGGGCAAGGGCAGAGAGAGAGGAGGAUAGAGGAUUGGAAGCCGGCUCCUCGCUGACAGCAGUGAGCCUGAUGCGGGGCUCAAACACAUGGACCACGAGAUCAUGACCUUAGCCAAAGUUGGAAGCUCAACUGACUGACCCACCCAGGUGCCCCAAACAUUACGGGUAAAUGAUAAAAAAAAAAAGUGGACAAAGACAUUAUAAGGAAAGAAAUCUACAGGCUAACAUCAUGGGGAUAGUUGUAAAAAUUCUUAAACUUAGAGCAAAUUGUAUACAACAAUAUAUAAACAAUAAUAUAUCAUGGCCAGGAAUAUACUAUAUUUAUCCCAGGAAUGCAAAGUUGGUUUAAAACUUGCAAAUUAACAUAUGUAAUUCACCAUGUUAACAAACUAACACACACACACACACACACACACACACACACACACACACAAACGCAUAC